GAUGAACGCUGGCGGCGUGCUUAACACAUGCAAGUCGAACGGUGAAGGCGGAGCUUGCUCUGCUGGAUCAGUGGCGAACGGGUGAGUAACACGUGAGCAAUCUGCCCCUGACUCUGGGAUAAGCGCUGGAAACGGCGUCUAAUACUGGAUACGAGCUGCGAAGGCAUCUUCAGCAGCUGGAAAGAACUUCGGUCAGGGAUGAGCUCGCGGCCUAUCAGCUUGUUGGUGAGGUAACGGCUCACCAAGGCGUCGACGGGUAGCCGGCCUGAGAGGGUGACCGGCAACACUGGGACUGAGACACGGCCCAGACUCCUACGGGAGGAAGCAGUGGGGAAUAUUGCACAAUGGGCGAAAGCCUGAUGCAGCAACGCCGCGUGAGGGACGACGGCCUUCGGGUUGUAAACCUCUUUUAGCAGGGAAGAAGCGAAAGUGACGGUACCUGCAGAAAAAGCGCCGGCUAACUACGUG
rnacentral:rRNA from 1 species